CUAUUCCUCUUCCCAUCCAGAAGCUCUUCGUUUCCUACGCUACGCAUCCAGCAAGAGCAACAGCCCCUCUCCUAGUUAUUUCUCCGUGGAACUCUAUUUAAUUCACCGAUCUCUUAAUAAUCCACAAUCAUAUUCCCUAUCUCCCUUCAAUUCAUAUCCUUUAUUUUCAGUUUCUCUCAUCCCUCUUUUCUCAUAUCAUAUUGUAACCCUAAGUUUCAAUCUCACACUAAAAAGCUCACAAAUUGUCUUUGAGAUUGAUGGUGACCAAGAGGGGAGGAGCAUGAGAAAUUGAAAAGGUGGAGGAACGGAGUGGAGUUUCUCAAAUUUUAGUUUCAACACAGUUAGCCUGAAUAAAGCUCUGCAAGAUUGAGGCUUUUUUAUAUAAGCUUUAACCAGGUUAUGUCUUAAAAAAUAUGUAUGUUGUUACUUAUUGUAGUUUCUUUGUCCAAUUGUGCUACCAUUUGUUACUUUUCUUAUGUCGUAUGAUUCUUUCUGCUGACCACAAAGAUGAAGCUUGAAGCCAUAAGCCAAUCUUAAGGGAAAGGGUUUAGUACUUUGAACAAAAACUUAGUUUUAAUGUAUCUUGACAUGUUCCCAUUUUUGGUUGCAAGGGUUCUAAAUUUCCUCUUUGUGAUGUGCAUGUUCCUCUUAGUGCAAAAACCCCGUUUGAUGAUGAGAUGUGGGAUGAGAUGUGGGAUGAUAUAUUCAAUGAUUUGCGCGAUGUUCAAUGAUUUGGGCGACGGGGAAUGUAGAACUAUUUGAUUGUACAAAGUGAUAUCUCAUCUUUGUUAUAUUUACAACACUAAUGAGCAAUUCUGUUUGUUGAGUGUGGUGUGGUGUUCA